AUUGAACGCUGGCGGCAGGCCUAACACAUGCAAGUCGAGCGAGCGGCGGACGGGUGAGUAAUGUCUGGGAAACUGCCUGAUGGAGGGGGGUAACUACUGGAAACGGUAGCUAAUACCGCAUACUAUCAGAUGUGCUCAGAGGGGAUUAGCUAGUGGGUGGGGUAACGGCUUACCUAGGCGACGAUGCCUAGCUGGUCUGAGAGGAUGACCAGCCACACUGGAACUGAGACACGGUCCAGACUCCUACGGGAGGCAGCAGUGGGGAAUAUUGCACAAUGGGCGCAAGCCUGAUGCAGCAAUGCCGCGUGUGUGAAGAAGGCCUUCGGGUUGUAAAGCACUUUCAGCGGGGAGGCGUUACCCGCAGAAGAAGCACCGGCUAACUCCGUGCCAGCCGCCGCGGUAAUUC
rnacentral:rRNA from 1 species